AGAGAAGAAGUCCCUAGGUGGUGGGAAGAAGGUUGAAGGUGCUGGAACUAACCUAUAUCGCUCUGAGGGACCAGAGGGACGAAGACAGGGACGAUUUGGAAGACACCUACGGCUCGAGAAGAUGCCCACUGAAACAGGGCUCUCGAAGAGAAGGCAGACGCUGAUAGAAACUCUGGAAUGGAAUAGGGCACCUAAAGGUGGGAGGACGGGUUUAAAUAGACCCUGGGAUCCGGCGCCAUAAU
rnacentral:lncRNA from 1 species